rnacentral:rRNA from 1 species
AUACGUAGGUGACAAGCGUUAUCCGGAUUUACUGGGCGUAAAGGGCGUGUAGGCGGCCUUGCAAGUCAGAAGUGAAAUUCCUGAGCUCAACUCGGGCGCUGCUUCUGAAACUGCAGGACUUGAGUGCUGGAGGGGAUAGCGGAAUUCCUAGUGGAGCGGUAAAAUGCGCAGAUAUUAGGAAGAACACCGGUGGCGAAGGCGGCUAUCUGGACAGUAACUGACGCUGAGGCGCGAAAGCGUGGGGAGCAAACAGGAGUAGAUACCCUGGUAGUCCACGCUGUAAACGAUGAAUACUAGGUGUGGGGGGACUGACCCCCUCCGUGCCGCAGUUAACACAAUAAGUAUUCCACCUGGGGAGUCCGAUCGCAAGAUUGAAACUCAAAGGUAUUGACGGGG